GCUUAGCCCUAAACACAGAUAUUUUAACACACCAAUAUCCGCCAGAGAACUACAAGCGAAAAGCUAGAAACUCCAAGGACUUGGCGGUGCUUCAAACCAACCUAGAGGAGCCUGUCCUAUAAUCGAUACUCCACGUUCUACCUUACCCCCCCUAGCCAUUCAGCCUAUAUACCGCCGUCGUCAGCCUACCUUAUGAAAGAAAUAAAGUAAGCAAAACAGUUAAUAACUAAAACGUCAGGUCAAGGUGUAGCACAUGGGCGGGCAGAGAUGGGCUACAUUUUCAAAACGAACACACGGAUAAUAUAUUGAAAUAUAUAUUUGAAGGCGGAUUUAGUAGUAAAAUAAACAAGAAAGCCGUAUUGAAAGCUGCUCUGAAGCGCGC
rnacentral:rRNA from 1 species